rnacentral:rRNA from 1 species
UACGUAGGGUGCAAGCGUUGUCCGGAAUUAUUGGGCGUAAAGAGCUCGUAGGCGGUUUGUUGCGUCGGCUGUGAAAUCCCGAGGCUCAACCUCGGGUCUGCAGUCGAUACGAGCAAACUAGAGUGUUGCAGGGGAGACUGGAAUUCCUGGUGUAGCGGUGGAAUGCGCAGAUAUCAGGAGGAACACCGGUGGCGAAGGCGGGUCUCUGGGCCGUUACGGACGCUGAGGAGCGAAAGCGUGGGGAGCGAACAGG